rnacentral:lncRNA from 12 species
CACAGUCAGAAAAAUACCCUUUGGCUCCUCAUUUAUCUGGAGAGCAAAACAAACUCUCUUGACAGAUUGUGUAGUUCUAGUGAAAUGCCAGAGUAAGAGAAACCCUCUUACCGCCGAGGGGCGGAUAUUAUUUCAAGCCAAUUCUACACUCACGGUCACUGGGACACCUCUAAACAGAAAGUGGAGGAGAAGAGCCAAGGAAGAGGUGUCAUUAGAAGAAGGGAAUUGGAGAUCAUUUUCAGAGGACUAAAUUAUUUUGGUUUAAUUUUGGCAUGAGAGCUGAGUUCUAGGGAGGGUUUUGUUUUCUUCCUUGUUAUUGUGGUUAGUUUUGUUUUGUCUUAAUUGCUAAUUAUUUCCAAAUCUCCAAAAGGAAGUUGAAAAGACUCAUUUAAUUAUUUAUUUAUUGCUCUGAUC